rnacentral:rRNA from 1 species
GAGUUUGAUCGUGGCUCAGGAUGAACGCUGGCGGCGUGCCUAAUACAUGCAAGUCGAGCGGACGGACGAGAAGCUUGCUUCUCUGAUGUUAGCGGCGGACGGGUGAGUAACACGUGGAUAACCUACCUAUAAGACUGGGAUAACUUCGGGAAACCGGAGCUAAUACCGGAUAAUAUUUUGAACCGCAUGGUUCAAAAGUGAAAGACGGUCUUGCUGUCACUUAUAGAUGGAUCCGCGCUGCAUUAGCUAGUUGGUAAGGUAACGGCUUACCAAGGCAACGAUGCAUAGCCGACCUGAGAGGGUGAUCGGCCACACCGGAACUGAGACACGGUCCAGACUCCUACGGGAGGCAGCAGUAGGGAAUCUUCCGCAAUGGGCGAAAGCCUGACGGAGCAACGCCGCGUGAGUGAUGAAGGUCUUCGGAUCGUGAAACUCUGUUAUUAGGGAAGAACAUAUGUGUAAGUAACUGUGCACAUCUUGACGGUACCUAAUCAGAAAGCCACGGCUAACUACGU